UACGGAGGGUGCAAGCGUUAAUCGGAAUUACUGGGCGUAAAGGGUGUCUAGGCGGCCUUGUAAGUCGGGGGUGAAAUCCACUGGCGUCAACCAGUGACGUGCCUUCGAAACUGCUAGGCUUGAGUAUGGCAGAGGAGAGCGGAAUUCCAGGUGUAGCGGUGAAAUGCGUAGAUAUCUGGAAGAACACCGGUGGCGUAGGCGGCUCUCUGGGCCAGUACUGA
rnacentral:rRNA from 1 species